rnacentral:lncRNA from 1 species
UGGAAGGUUAACACCAAAGUGCAUAACUUGCCCGGUCCUCUUCGGUCGACGGUGGGGGCGGCCACUGGUGUCGUUUCCUUCAUGAAGGCUCUGUCAUGGUGUCCUCGUCUCUUCAUGUUGCUCCGGGUGAAAACGUGAUCCUUGGAGUCCAUGUCGUGCCCUUCUUGAAGGCACCGCCUUGGAGUCCAUGCUUCUUCACUGUCCCGCUUCACUUCUCGGUGGCUAGGUCUCGGGAGGUCCUCGUCGAUCCCAAGUAGUUCCUUUUGUGUCAUCUGCAGUGUGCUUGGUGGUCGAUUGGAUAGUGUUGAGGUGCAUCGGCAUUCUUGUAUCUUGCCUUGGGUGUGUGUUGUGUGCAGUGGUGACGCGUUGUAGAUAGAUGUGUGUCUCUGGUUGUUGCUUUAUAUAUAAAACGGGGCAAAAGACUUUUUGGACAUGGUCUUUUAAUAAUGUUGGGGACGGGGAUGACAUGAAUGUUCCUUUCACUAUAAAUAUAGAUUAUAGUGUACACAAAUACUUAUGUCGUCUUGGAAAUUGCUAGAAGAAAUGAUGAAAUGAAACUAAUACAUACAAAACAAAAAAUAAACAUAUUACAUUGGAAUAGAAAAGCUCCAUCUUUUAUCCUUUUGGUUUCUGUUCUCAAAUGAUU